rnacentral:lncRNA from 1 species
AUUUAAAAUUUUAAAUAACAAAUAAAUUAAUAAAUGCAACAAUCCCCCAAAUGAUUUAAAAUUUUAAGAACAUUAUUAAGCUUGUUUAAAAUCAUAAAAUAAACAAAAAUCAAUCAACACAAAUCUCAUAUAUUGAGCACCUUAUGCUAUGCAAUGGGUGAAGGUAUCUUUAGAAUUUGAACCUUUAUUUAGUAUUGACUGU